UGAGGAAUAUUGCACAAUGGGCGAAAGCCUGAUGCAGCAACGCCGCGUGAGGGACGAAGGCCUUCGGGUUGUAAACCUCUUUUCUGAGAGACGAGACAAGGACGGUACCUCAGGAAUAAGUCUCGGCUAACUACGUGCCAGCAGCCGCGGUAAGACGUAGGAGGCGAGCGUUAUCCGGAUUUACUGGGCGUAAAGCGCACGCAGGCGGCUUCGUUAGUCGGAUGUGAAAGCUCCUGGCUUAACCGGGAGAGGCCAUUCGAUACUGCGAGGCUUGAGGUUGGAAGAGGGGUGUGGAAUUCCCGGUGUAGUGGUGGAACGCGUAGAUAUCGGGAGGAACACCUGUGGCGAAAGCGGCACCCUGGUCCACACCUGACGCUGAGGUGCGAAAGCGUGGGUAGCAAACAGG
rnacentral:rRNA from 1 species